rnacentral:rRNA from 1 species
AUGACAGUAUGGACAUUGUUGAUCCAUGCUGCUACGAGCGAGUCACAGCCUAGUCGGCUUCAGGGGUUAUUCCAAUGCAAAGGACAAGGAUUUGGCAAGUACUUCAUGCAGACUGAAGCUAAAGGAGGGAGAAUCAUCAAGUCCACAGCCUGCAUCGACCGGUUUUUCUGCUACAACCUCACUUGCUCCUUCCAGCAAGUCCCGGUCGACCACAGGUUCACGGGGACGCCAUUCUUCCACUCCAUGAUCGCAAGAGCGCAAGCCGCCGACGACUCCGACGUCUGCGUCCUCGUCGACGCCGAAGUCGUUCUGCUCCCCGAAGCCGUCACAUUACUGGCAGAUCUCAGCAAAAUUGACCGUGAGUGGCUCCUCGUUUCAGCGUCACGCAACGUUUCCAGCUUCUCCUACAAUCUCGCCCACAGUGCGAUGCUAGAGGAGAUUCAAGCUGAGGAAUGGGCAGCAGAUGGCAGCGACAGGGGGCUCGUUUUCGCGUGGAACAAUCCGGGCCGUCCAUUGCUUGCAGGAGUCGUGCCUUCUUUUCUGUAUGGAAGAGGGGCGCACAGCAGGUGGCUGAUCCAUGAAGUUCUGUCAUCUGAAACGAGGCUCGUCUUCGAUGCAAGCAGUCUAGUUCUUGGGCUAUACCCCGAAGAUUCCACGGCAAAGCGCGGCGCUGGUUCGAGUAGCAGCGGCAGAUUACCUGGUGGAUCAUGGGAGCACGGUGUCAACCGGCAUCUCGCUUCGGUUUACGGGUCGUAUUGCCGUCGUCCGCCAGGAGGACAUCAUCAUUCUUUCUCCAUGCUGUAUGAAGUGGUAAAGCAUUCUGAAGAUUACAUGUUGAGCAAAGUUGAAGAGCCUACAUUCUCAAGAUUUGUCACAGGUAAAGAACAGGAUGCCCAUGAAGAGGUUGGUGGUAACCCAUGGAACAAAGAGAACAAUUGCUUGCCUGAUCAUCUGCCAAGCUAUUCUUCAGAAGCCUCUGACGUUCCAUAUUCAUUAGAAAUGCUCCUUCGGUUCGUAGCCGACGAUAAUAAGUCUGUUGUUCUUGGUGUGGCUGGGGCAAGUUACAGGGACAUGCUUAUGAGCUGGGUGUGCCGCUUGCGCCGUCUCAGAGUCGCCAAUUUUGUAGUCUGUGCUCUAGAUCAAGAGACAUACGAAUUCUCCGUCUUGCAGGGUUUGCCAGUUUUCAGAGAUCCAACGUCGCCAAACAACGUCAGUUUUGAUGACUGCCACUUUGGAACCCAGUGUUUUAAGCGAGUGACCAAGGUUAAAUCGCGCAUUGUUCUGGAGAUUAUAAGGAUGGGGUACAACGUGCUGCUGAGUGAUGUUGAUGUCUACUGGUUUCACAAUCCAGUGCAGUUCCUGCACUCUCUUGGACCUGCUACAUUCGCAGCCCAAUCAGAUGAAUACAAUGAGACAGGGCCAAUAAACCUGCCACGCCGGCUAAAUUCGGGUUUCUACUACGCCCGAUCAGACAGCGCCACCAUCACCGCGAUGGAGAUGGUAGUGAAGCACGCGGCCAAAUCAAACUCAUCUGAGCAGCCAAGCUUCUAUGACGUCCUGUGUGGGAAGGAAGGUGUGAACCGACUCGGCAACGACAGAUGCCUAGAGCCUAGCACAAACCUCACCGUCGUGUUUCUGGACCGGGAUUUGUUCCCCAACGGAGCUUACAAGGGGCUCUGGGGAAGGCAUGACAUGCGCUCAGCUUGCAAGAAGCUCGGGUGCUUCAUCAUCCACAAUAACUGGGUAAACGGGAGGAAGAAGAAACUCUGGCGACAGAUGGAAUCCGGGCUGUGGGACUAUGAUCCUGGCUUCAGGAUGUGCUUGCAGAGCUGGGGUGAAGCAAGUAGUAGCUUCACAGUGGCCGAGCAGUUUCACGCGUCUGACGACAUGGAAAGUUAG